ensembl:lncRNA
AGAACGCAAGUGGUUGGACCAGUGAUUCUCUGGGGUGGGAGUGAGGAGAGGUGGGUCUUGUGGUUUUGCAGUUUCUUGCUGUCCUAUACUGGUGGGCAGUGCUGUUGGUCCCAGCGUGGUGGCCGACACCCUUGUAGUCAGGAAAGACUCAACGGGAGGAAGGACAGAAUGAGAACCUCAGCUAGGACCAAGACUUAUCAUCAGCAGAUGAAGGUAGCCCAUCUUACUUAGCCAGACUCUCCUUUCAGGUGAUACAUGGCAGGCCAUGCUUGGUUCCCAGCUUUGGUGAAUUCUUUCUAUCCAUGGAUGGAGCCACUCUCUCGGAAAGCUAUAUGAGCCAGGUCCUGCCAUUUUGCACAGGAGGAGGCUGAGUCACAGGAACAUGAGAUGCUCUGCCCAAGGUCACACAUCUGGAAAGGGGAAGCCAGGAUUCUAGAGGCCACUUAUGAUACCAGGUCACUGUUCUGGCCAUCUCUUGUGAUUUGUCCAGGUGCCUGGGGUCUUCCUACCUGAAGCCCAUCCUCUGGCCCCGCUAGGUCUUAUACAGGACCCACCAGAGACUCAGAC